CGCACUUUACCUUUAAGUUAAAGUGCGAACUUGAUAAGUUUGAAAUAUUGGUUCAAUUCCAUUAAAAACUA
rfam:Neolecta irregularis DAH-3 MTctg_63 mitochondrial, whole genome shotgun sequence.